AUAUGUGUUUAUACCAUCCUGAACCUGCCUGAUCUUGUUUGAUCUUGGAAGAUAAGCAGGAUCAGUCCUGGUUAGAAUUUGGAUGGGAGACUGUCUGGGAAUUGUGUGUGUGUGUGUG
rnacentral:rRNA from 1 species